GGGAAAUGCAAAUUUAAGUAUAAUGAGUGCUUAUAGAAUACUCUUGAAUUUAAACUCGUAAUAAUCAUAAGUCAGUCUUUGAUGGGAGACACGGUAUUUUCAAUUCAACAACUGGUUACACGAACACAAUUUUAUUCUCUUGCUGAGCUACUGAUUGAAUCAUAAUAAUAAUACAUAUUAUUAACAUGGGCAGGAGAAUAGUUGCUCUCAUAGUAUUCUUAAUAUUUUCAUCAUCAUCAUCGAUAACAACACGAGGAAGUGAAAUAAGCGAGACUUGCUUUGGUAAUUGUAUGACGUUACUUCGAAAAGCUUUUGAGGUGAGUCGUUAAAUACUACGGCUACAUGGGUAACAUUUACAGCAAAUAAAACGUUAUUGUUCACCUUUGUUACAGAUAUAUGGUAUUGCGAUAUUGUUGGGUCUUACUAAUUAUAGCUGAUAGUAUAAU